rnacentral:rRNA from 1 species
GGAGAACGGGUGAGUAACACGUGAAUGAUCUGCCCAUCGCACACGUGGGUAUAGCCCGGGGAAACCGGAUUAAUACCGGAUAGCCUCUCGAGGUCUACAGGGCUCGUGAGAAAGGAUGGCUUCGGCUUUCGGUCGAGGAGGAGCUUGCGGCCGGAUUAGCUUGUUGGUGGGGUAACGGCUCACCAAGGCGACGAUCCGUAGCUGGUCUGAGAGGACGAUCAGCCACACUGGGACUGAGACACGGCCCAGACUCAUACGGGAGGCAGCAGUAGGGGAAUCUUGCGCAAUGGGCGAAAGCCUGACGCAGCGACGCCGCGUGAGGGAAGAAGGCCUUCGGGUUGUAAACCUCUUUCAGGAGGGACGAAGCUACUCGGGUUAAUACCCCAGAGGGUGACGGUAACCUCCAGAAGAAGCCCCGGCUAAACUACGUGCCAGCAGCCGCGG